rnacentral:rRNA from 1 species
AGUGAACGCUGGCGGUAGGCCUAACACAUGCAAGUCGAACGGCAGCACAGUAAGAGCUUGCUCUUACGGGUGGCGAGUGGCGGACGGGUGAGGAAUACAUCGGCAUCUACUUUUUCGUGGGGGAUAACGUAGGGAAACUUACGCUAAUACCGCAUACGACCUACGGGUGAAAGCAGGGGAUCUUCGGACCUUGCGCGAUUGAAUGAGCCGAUGUCGGAUUAGCUAGUUGGCGGGGUAAAGGCCCACCAAGGCGACGAUCCGUAGCUGGUCUGAGAGGAUGAUCAGCCACACUGGAACUGAGACACGGUCCAGACUCCUACGGGAGGCAGCAGUGGGGAAUAUUGGACAAUGGGGGCAAGCCUGAUCCAGCCAUACCGCGUGGGUGAAGAAGGCCUUCGGGUUGUAAAGCCCUUUUGUCGGGAAAGAAAAGCAGCAGGUUAAUACCCCGCUGUUCUGACGGUACCCAAAGAAUAAGCACCGGCUAACUUCGUG